rnacentral:rRNA from 1 species
GAGUUUGAUCUUGGCUCAGAAUGAACGCUGGCGGCAUGCCUAACACAUGCAAGUCGAACGAAGGCUUCGGCCUUAGUGGCGCACGGGUGCGUAACGCGUGGGAAUCUGCCCCUUGGUUCGGAAUAACAGUUGGAAACGACUGCUAAUACCGGAUGAUGACGUAAGUCCAAAGAUUUAUCGCCGAGGGAUGAGCCCGCGUAGGAUUAGGUAGUUGGUGUGGUAAAGGCGCACCAAGCCGACGAUCCUUAGCUGGUCUGAGAGGAUGAUCAGCCACACUGGGACUGAGACACGGCCCAGACUCCUACGGGAGGCAGCAGUGGGGAAUAUUGGACAAUGGGCGAAAGCCUGAUCCAGCAAUGCCGCGUGAGUGAUGAAGGCCUUAGGGUUGUAAAGCUCUUUUACCCGGGAUGAUAAUGACAGUACCGGGAGAAUAAGCUCCGGCUAACUCCGUGCCAGCCGCCGCCGUAAG